GGCAACGUGACGGAGUGGUUAACGUGAUUGACUAGAAUUUCUCUAGCUUAUCAAUUUCCUUCGGGAGCGUCUGUUCGAAUCAGGCCGUUGUCG